CCGAUGAGGUGGAUUCGGACAGAGCUGGCGUAUCUGGCCUGCAUUCAGCCGUGCCCCGCUGGCGUCAGGGAUGCCGCUCUCCAGAUUGGGACGGUGGCCUGUCUGCCGGCGGGUUUGCGGUGCAUUUGCAGGUGGAGUGCGCCGAGGCGCUCGGUGCAGCGGCAUGAGCUUGGCUUUGAGGCCAGCCCCUCACGGGGUCUGGUACCCGGGCCAGGGGAGUGCUGUUUGUGCUGGGCGACAGCCAUGGGCAAUGGACUCGGGCUCGUGUGGGUGCCGAGCUGGAGGUCGGCGUCGGUCGCUUGCGACACGUGCCGGCACUCAGUUCGGUCCUGCUCGAGCUCACAUCUGCCCGUCCUCGGUGUAAAAGCCGGUCAUCUGUCCGACCCGUCUUGAAACACGGACCAAGGAGUUUAGCGUGUGCGCGAGUCAUUGGGCGUUGAAAACCCAAAGGCGUAAUGAAAGUGAAGGUCUCCCUUGCGGAGCUGACGUGUGAUCCUGGGCACCGCGGUGCGCCGGGCGCAACAUGGUCCCGUCCCGAUUGCUUGCAAUGGGGCGGAGACAGAGCGUACGCGCUGAGACCC
rnacentral:rRNA from 1 species